rnacentral:tRNA from 1 species
ACAGUGGUGGUUCAGUCGUAGAAUUCUGGCCUUUCAUGCUGGAAACCCAGGUUCAAUUUCUGGUCAGUGCA